ACGCNCGACACCUACUGGAGGCAGCAGUGAGGGAUAUUGGUCAAUGGGGGAAACCCUGAACCAGCAACGCCGCGUGAGGGAUGACGGUCUUCGGAUUGUAAACCUCUGUCCUCUGUGAAGAUAAUGACGGUAGCAGAGGAGGAAGCUCCGGCUAACUACGUGUCAGCAGCCGCGGUAAUCUGAGCGGGCUGGCAAGGC
rnacentral:rRNA from 1 species